AAUGUUGACUUCUGGUUUCACACAGAGAUCUACUACCAACAAUUUAUUUCUAACAUUGAACCUGAUUUUUUGGCCACUUGGGGGCAGCAGAAACAAGCUGUAAACAUAUUAUCAGCUUUUAAGUUGAUGAUAAGGUGAUUUAAGGUGAACUUGCUUGCAAACAGUUUCUGGCCACCUGAGGAAUGAAAGCCCAAUAUUCACUCUCUUCAACGUAUCUUCGUACAACGGUUCGUAUGAUACCGUAUCUUACGAAAUGUAAUUU